UGCCCUGGCAAUGGGCAAAGAGAUACCUUGUUGGUGUUGUUCUUAUAUCAGUCAGGGGCAGGGCAGAUGGUGUCCGGUGUUCAUCCUAGUUUGAUGCCUGGCUUGGUGGCCAAAGCUAUUUUAUGUUCAGGACACACGA